GAUGAACGCUAGCUACAGGCUUAACACAUGCAAGUCGAGGGGCAGCACAGUGUAGCAAUACACGGGUGGCGACCGGCGCACGGGUGCGUAACGCGUAUCCAACCUUCCCGUUACUCUGGGAUAGCCUUCCGAAAGGGAGAUUAAUACCGGAUGGUGUUCAAGUGGUGCAUAUUAUUUGAACUAAAGAUUUAUCGGUAACGGAUGGGGAUGCGUACCAUUAGAUAGUAGGCGGGGUAACGGCCCACCUAGUCUACGAUGGUUAGGGGUUCUGAGAGGAAGGUCCCCCACACUGGAACUGAGACACGGUCCAGACUCCUACGGGAGGCAGCAGUGAGGAAUAUUGGUCAAUGGCCGUAAGGCUGAACCAGCCAAGUAGCGUGAAGGAUGAAGGUUCUAUGGAUUGUAAACUUCUUUUAUACGGGAAUAACACCAUCUACGUGUAGAUGUCUGCAUGUACCGUAUGAGUAAGCAUCGGCUAACUCCGUG
rnacentral:rRNA from 1 species